UCGACGGAGCGCCUAUGAAGGAGAUUUCGGUCAACGGAAUAGGUUGCUUAGUGGCGGACGGGUGAGUAACGCGUGAGGAACCUGCCUUUCAGAGGGGGACAACAGUUGGAAACGACUGCUAAUACCGCAUAACACAUAGGUGUCGCAUGGCAUUUAUGUCAAAGAUUUAUCGCUGAAAGAUGGCCUCGCGUCUGAUUAGCUAGUUGGUGAGGUAACGGCUCACCAAGGCGACGAUCAGUAGCCGGACUGAGAGGUUGGCCGGCCACAUUGGGACUGAGAUACGGCCCAGACUCCUACGGGAGGCAGCAGUGGGGAAUAUUGGGCAAUGGGCGCAAGCCUGACCCAGCAACGCCGCGUGAAGGAAGAAGGCUUUCGGGUUGUAAACUUCUUUUGACAGGGAAGAGUAGAAGACGGUACCUGUCGAAUAAGCCACGGCUAACUACGUGCCAGCAGCCGCGGUAAUACGUAAGUGGCAAGCGUUGUCCGGAUUUACUGGGUGUAAAGGGCGUGUAGCCGGGUUGACAAGUCAGAUGUGAAAUCCUGCGGCUUAACCGCAGAACUGCAUUUGAAACUGUUGAUCUUGAGUACUGGAGAGGCAGACGGAAUUCCUAGUGUAGCGGUGAAAUGCGUAGAUAUUAGGAGGAACACCAGUGGCGAAGGCGGUCUGCUGGACAGCAACUGACGGUGAGGCGCGAAAGCGUGGGGAACAAACAGGAUUAGAUACCCUGGUAGUCCACGCUGUAAACGAUGGAUACUAGGUGUGCGGGGACUGACCCCCUGCGUGCCGCAGCUAACGCAAUAAGU
rnacentral:rRNA from 1 species